GAUGAACGCUGGCGGCGUGCCUAAUACAUGCAAGUCGAGCGAACAGACGAGGAGCUUGCUCCUCUGACGUUAGCGGCGGACGGGUGAGUAACACGUGGAUAACCUACCUAUAAGACUGGGAUAACUUCGGGAAACCGGAGCUAAUACCGGAUAAUAUAUUGAACCGCAUGGUUCAAUAGUGAAAGACGGUUUUGCUGUCACUUACAGAUGGAUCCGCGCCGCAUUAGCUAGUUGGUAAGGUAACGGCUUACCAAGGCAACGAUGCGUAGCCGACCUGAGAGGGUGAACGGCCACACUGGAAAUGAGACACGGUCAAGACUCCUACGGGAGGCAGCAGUAGGGAAUCUUCCGCAAUGGGCGAAAGCCUGACGGAGCAACGACGCGUGAGUGAUGAAGGUCUUCGGAUCGUAAAACUCUGUUAUUAGGGAAGAACAAAUGUGUAAGUAACUAUGCAAGUCUUGACGGUACCUAAUCAGAAAGCCACGGCUAACUACGUG
rnacentral:rRNA from 1 species